rnacentral:rRNA from 1 species
AACGAACGCUGGCGGCAGGCUUAACACAUGCAAGUCGAACGCGUGUAGCAAUACACGAGUGGCGCACGGGUGAGUAACGCGUGGAUAUCUGCCUUUUGGUUCGGAAUAACUCCGGGAAACUGGAGCUAAUACCGGAUGGUUCCUUCGGGAUAAAGAUUUAUCGCCAAAAGAUGAGUCCGCGUACGAUUAGCUAGUUGGUGAGGUAAUGGCUCACCAAGGCGACGAUCGUUAGCUGGUCUGAGAGGACGAUCAGCCACACUGGGACUGAGACACGGCCCAGACUCCUACGGGAGGCAGCAGUGGGGAAUAUUGGACAAUGGGGGCAACCCUGAUCCAGCCAUGCCGCGUGAGUGAUGAAGGCCUUCGGGUUGUAAAGCUCUUUUGGCGGGGACGAUGAUGACGGUACCCGCAGAAUAAGCCCCGGCUAACUUCGUGCCAGCAGCCGCGGUAAGACGAAGGGGGCUAGCGUUGUUCGGAAUUACUGGGCGUAAAGCGAGUGUAGGUGGUUGUCAUAGUCAGGUGUGAAAGCCUUGAGCUCAACUCAAGAAAUGCACUUGAUACUGGGCGACUAGAGGACCGGAGAGGAUAGUGGAAUUCCCAGUGUAGUGGUGAAAUACGUAGAGAUUGGGAAGAACACCAGUGGCGAAGGCGGCUAUCUGGACGGUUUCUGACACUAAGACUCGAAGCGUGGGGAGCAAA